rnacentral:rRNA from 1 species
CAGUAGCCGCGGGAAUACAGAGGGUGCAAGCGUUAAUCGGAAUUACUGGGCGUAAAGCGCGCGUAGGUGGUUUGUUAAGUUGGAUGUGAAAGCCCCGGGCUCAACCUGGGAACUGCAUCCAAAACUGGCAAGCUAGAGUACGGUAGAGGGUGGUGGAAUUUCCUGUGUAGCGGUGAAAUGCGUAGAUAUAGGAAGGAACACCAGUGGCGAAGGCGACCACCUGGACUGAUACUGACACUGAGGUGCGAAAGCGUGGGGAGCAAACAGGAUUAGAUACCCCAGUAGUCCCUGUCUCUUAUAA